CAAUAUGUUUCCCAGUAGGCUGGUGCGACCGCAUUGACAGAGUCCAUAUUGGAAGGAGAUGGGCAGCUCGCAUUUAAGAAGCUGGCGACCGCAACCCAGCUUGAAACCCUGAUCGAUGCCUAGAAUCGAAGGCGAAGUGGAGUCUGGCCAGGCAAGGUGGAGGGUAUUGUAUGCUCCUCAGAUCCCAAGCUUACUCUCCGUGGACUCCCCACCGUUGAUCCUCUCAAAUCCAUAAACAAGCAACAUAUCUUUCGGUACCGAGGUCGAAGUCCAGCUUGGGAGACGUCUCCAGGCCUCGAUUGUUAGGCAGAUGAAGGAUUUGUAGAUGGCCAUGCAGUGAAACUUGACCUACCGGCUCACAAGCUGUCUACGUGUUCUCCUGCAAUCUGCUCCAUCCAAGUGCCUCCUCUUUGAAUACUCGGCUACUACUCUGGGCUAAGAUACGAGAUCUUGGCGCGGAGGGUAGAGUUCUCCACGAGCCAAACCCGGUUCGCUCUUUUUGUUUUUCUCUCAAUUUUCUUGGUUUUGGAGAUCGAAUUGUUAUAUCUGAUGAUGUAAGUAUGCAUUCAUACUUUUGCUCAGAAAUGUAUGAGCUUUGUAACGAGUCUGUACAGCGUCAGAUCGUAGGCUACGGGAUUAGUGGCAAAAUAAACUAACUAUUUAUUUUACUCGAUAGUAAUGGAAGUUGAAGGAGAUUUCCGAUGAA